GACGAACCGUGCGAACGUUAUUCGGAAUCACUGGGCUUAAAGCGCGUGUAGGCGGGUCGGCGCGUCCAUGCCUGAAAUCCCCCGGCUCAACCGGGGAACCGGGCCGGAUACGGCCGUCCUGGAGGGACGUAGGGGGACCUGGAACUUCCGGUGGAGCGGUGAAAUGCGUUGAGAUCGGAAGGAACGCCCGUGGCGAAAGCGAGGUCCUGGACGUCUUCUGACGCUGAGACGCGAAAGCCAGGGGAGCGAACGGG
rnacentral:rRNA from 2 species